rnacentral:rRNA from 1 species
UAGGGAAUCUUCCACAAUGGGCGAAAGCCUGAUGGAGCAACGCCGCGUGUGUGAUGAAGGGAUUCGGCUCGUAAAACACUGUUGUAAGAGAAGAAUGACAUUGAGAGUAACUGUUCAAUGUGUGACGGUAUCUUACCAGAAAGGAACGGCUAAAUACGUGCCAG